ensembl:snRNA
ACCAUCCUUUCCCUGGGGUUGUGCUACUGUCCAAUGAGUGCACAGUAAGAGCAGUCCUGCCAACCCUACCUAACACACUUGUCUCAACUAGAGCUUCGCUUCACCUCAGUGUAAUUUUUGGAAAA